rnacentral:rRNA from 1 species
UACGGAGGGUGCGAGCGUUAAUCGGAAUUACUGGGCGUAAAGCGCGCGUAGGCGGUUUGUUAAGUCAGCUGUGAAAGCCCCGGGCUCAACCUGGGAACUGCAGUUGAUACUGACCGACUAGAGUACGAGAGAGGGAGGUAGAAUUCCAUGUGUAGCGGUGAAAUGCGUAGAUAUAUGGAGGAAUACCGGUGGCGAAGGCGGCCUCCUGGCUCGAUACUGACGCUGAGGUGCGAAAGCGUGGGGAUCAAACAGG